rnacentral:rRNA from 1 species
AGCGAACGCUGGCGGCAGGCUUAACACAUGCAAGUCGAACGGUCCUUCGGGAUAGUAGCGGACGGGUGAGUAACACGUGGGAACGUACCCUUAGGUUCGGAACAACACAGGGAAACUUGUGCUAAUACCGGAUAAGCCCUUCGGGGGAAAGAUUUAUCGCCUUUGGAGCGGCCCGCGUCUGAUUAGCUUGUUGGUGAGGUAAUGGCGCAACAAGGCUACGAUCAGUAGCUGGUCUGCGAGGAUGGCCAGCCACACUGGGACUGAGACACGGCCCAGACUCCUACGGGAGGCAGCAGUGGGGAAUCUUGCGCAAUGGGCGAAAGCCUGACGCAGCCAUGCCGCGUGGAUGAUGAAGGUCUUAGGAUUGUAAAAUCCUUUCACCGGGGACGAUAAUGACGGUACCCGGAGAAGAAGCCCCGGCUAACUUCGUGCCAGCCGCCGCCGUAA